UGGGCUGGAGAGAGGAAACGAGAGAGAGGGAUGGAGAGGACAGAGAGAGGAGAGAGACGACAGAGAGAUGGAGAGAGGACUGAGAGAGCCAACAGAGAGCGAAGGAGAGGGAAAGAGAGUGAGAGAGAGGACGGAAGGCUAAGUCCACACUGAGGCCUGUUUUCCUCCCAGGCUCCCAGCAUAUGGCUGAAGCAUUAAGACCAACAACGUCUGGCUGCGAAUAAAGGAAGACCUCCGUCUGCCUGAAAAAAAGGCCUGUUGUCUGGAAAAGUAUGUUGCGAUCUGUCUCUCUUGAGUUCACUUUCCGACCUGAGAAAUUCAUCACCCCCGCCACCGUUGACUGGUGACAUUGUGAAAUGUCUCCUGACCUAUAUAGCGGUGCAUUUAUAAUCAACUAGGGACUAGGGCCCUAUCGAUUCUUGAUGUGUCUCGGUUGAGUUGAAACACUACAGCAAGUAGGACAUCGUAUGUUUCGAAACCUCAAUGCACAUACAGUAUUGUCACAACUCACGACACUAGAUUGUGCAGCACUUUUUUUUUUUUAAACAAGACAAGCCUGUUGGCAACUUUUUGGUUCAUCCAAACAUACCUUAGGGACAGAAGUUUUUCCUAACCACAUGACCUGACUCAGAAAUACUUUGGGCCCUAUGUAAUUAGCUUACCAGAGUUUGUCCUGGUCAGGUGACGUGUUCAGGAACACCUCCCUAAUAACUUGUGUGUGUUUGAACAGAAUGAACCAAGCACCAUUUAUUUCUCCUAUGAAGGGAAUCACAUUACAGCCGGUUUUAAUGAUUCAGUUAGUGGUCUUUGAUGUUGGCGCACUGACUGCACUAUGAAACCCUCUAAUGUCCCUUUAUACAUCCUCCAUGGAGGGAAAAGGCAGGAUGUGGUUCCACCUUCUUGGCACGUCUCGCACCCCGAUGGCUCGGGCCAGGCAGCUGCUUUGUGGUGCCGGAUUUCAGCAGCACACCCCUUUAUGAAGGCUGCCCUUUGAUGGACCUCCACCGUUUCCUGCGUGCCACAAGACUUAGCAUUAACUUGGGGAGCGAACAUAAGUCUUCACCUCAUAUUCAAGGUUGUUCAUCACCUUUGAUGAAGCUGUGUCACUCAGUGUCACUUUCAGGUCCACCACUACAUCACCUGUGUGUGACGGACCAGGAUUCGAACCCGGCUCUCCUUGCGUGCCACAAGACUGUUACCCCUCUUAACUAAAGCAUUCGCUUGAGGAGCUAACAUAAGUCUUCAGGUCUCAGGCAAAAUUAUUCAUCACUCAAGCAUAAUUCACCUAACCAACCCUGUUAUACAUGGAUAUAAUCCAGAGUAUUCAUAAAAGUUGUUGAGAGAAAAUAGGUGCCUCUGCAGUAACUCGCCUUCUGCUACUAGGGUUUUUUGAGGAGGAACUCAGAUUUCAUGGUUGCUCAUUUUGACUGAACACAAGUUCAUAGGUUUCGCGAGGGUGACGUCAUUGUGAUGUCAACGCGCUUUGAUGUGCUUUUACCCAAGUUAUUGACGCAAAUUGCUGAAACACACACUGGUUUGUCCCAUUGUGCGAAGCAUAUGGGUCCAAUCCGUUCCAUAUGUGAUUCCUUCAAAGUGGAGAUCAGGGUUUCCCACAGAAACAAUGUUCAAAGGCAGAGCAGCCUUUCCGGAAGGUACUGCAUUCACAGUGAGGGAUACAGCACUGUAUGAUGAGGACAAGUAGUUGUCCCCUGACCAUGUUACUUGAAUAGGAAAAACUCUUGGCCAGAUAGGCUAUAACUAGGCGCAUACAUUAUUGGCAAUAACUAUACAUCUUUCUUCUUGAUCAGGUCACUUGGUCCAAGGAAAACUCCUAGCCCCAAGUAUGACUGAUCUGGGGCUCACAUGCUUUUGUGUCAAAGAAAAGUUCCUCUCCAGGUCAAAUGUCAGUUAUAGUCAACCACGACUCUCCAACCACUCCAGUCCAGUGAUCCAUCCUCCCAGAAAUCCACUCCAGGCUUUUUGUGGGAGGAAGCUGCCUUGGUGUCUCAAACCCUGGGUCUGGUCUCCCCCCAGCUUAGGGAGUAAAAGUUUGCCUCUCGUGUUGCAUGUGCCUUGCCUUUAGAUAUGUUUUUUUUUUCAAUCUCUCUCUCCCCAGCUAACAAUUCUAGGGAGAGCGAACGUUUUUGUAAUGUUACCCGUAAUGUUCCCCUGAUGUUUGUGUCCAGUUUUCCAUUAGUUAGGGGAACAUUCUAUGUAUGUUAGCGAAAGCCUCCUGAGAACCUAUUUAGCAUGUUCUGGCAUUAGAUUUAGGAGAACAUUCCCUUAAUGUCAAACAGAACUUAGCCAGAAUGUGGUUACCAUGUUCUCAGAAUAUCGUAUAUGGGUCAUUUUACAGAAGUGAUACAAAUUGGGGAAUAAAAAAAAUAAAAAUAAUUUGUAUCCUAUUUUCCCAAAACUUUCAGCACACGUCUUCCAACAUAUGUCAGGUAAAUAUAUAUUGUAACUGACAGUUAGACUUACAGGUUGUCGUUGUUUUGUGUUUGAAUUGUGUAACUGACAGUUAGACUUACAGGUUAUGUCGUUGUUUUGUGUUUGAAUUGUUUACGUGUCCGCUGUGCGGGGAAAUGAUAAGACAAGCGGAACUACGUAGCUAAUAACUGUUGUAACGGGGAUUCUUAUUGUAGCAACACAAUUUUGGAGGGAAGGCAAUCCCGUGCUGUGUUAGCUAAGUUUUCAUGUCAUCGGGUGUAGUUCAUAAAGUUUGAAGCGUAUAUGUUAGGAUGUUAUAAUAACGUUAUAAUAAUUAAGGAUGAAGCGUGAAUUCAUGCCAGGAAUAAUAAGUGUGAAGUUUGAUUUCCUCCCUUCUGUAAUAAGCAGCCAAUGAGUUCUCACGGAAGGUGAUAAUUCUGACUAAAUCUACAGAAUAAAGCCGCCAGUUAAAAUCAA